AACUAACGCUGGCGGCGUGCCUAACACAUGCAAGUCGUACGAGAAAGUUGGCUUCGGCCGAUGAGUAAAGUGGCGCACGGGUGAGUAAUGCGUGGAUAAUCUGCCCUUUAGUUGGGAAUAACGUACCGAAAGAUGCGCUAAUACCUGAUAAUACUGCAUAACUACUGUUGUGUAGUCAAAGAAGGCCUCUGUUUACAAGCUUUUGCUGAAGGAUGAGUCCGCGUACCAUUAGCUGGUUGGUGGGGUAAUGGCCUACCAAGGCUACGAUGGUUAGCUGGUCUGAGAGGAUGAUCAGCCACACUGGAACUGAGACACGGACCAGACUCCUACGGGAGGCAGCAGUGAGGAAUAUUGCGCAAUGGAGGCAACUCUGACGCAGCCAUGCCGCGUGCAGGAAGAAGGCGCUACGCGUUGUAAACUGCUUUUAAACGGGAAGAAACCCGGGACGUGUCCCGGGUUGACGGUACCGUUGGAAUAAGCACCGGCUAACUUCGUGCC
rnacentral:rRNA from 1 species